GGGAAAAAAACAAUUUAAUCAAUUUUAGAAUAUGGCUCUAAUGUAACAAAAUUUGGAAAACGUCAAGGGGUCUGAAUACUUUUCCGAAGGCACUGUAUCAUGACAUUAAUGAUAGUCAAAAUCUGUUACAUUUGUGAACGUCUCAAUACACAUUUGGGCCAUUUAAACAGCAUGCUUCCCUCUUAUAGACAAGGGGAGAAGGGCUAUGUAAAGGCAUCGAUUAUGUCGCUCUGACCAUAUGCAAUGUGUCUGCCUCCAAAGUAAAACAAAUGUUUGACUUCCACACAAAAUUACUUCUUUACUUAUUUUAGGUUUAAGGAAGUGUGUAGAUUGCGUUCUUUAUCGUAGAGCUCUGUUGUAUUUAGAUCCGCCUGCUCGAGACAAAUUCAGCGAUUGCUUUGCCAUGUCUGUGCUGUGAAGCAGUCGAGCUGGAUAAAUGUUUUUCUAAGGACCGCCCCUUUGAUGUCACAUUGCAGUGAAGUGACAUAAAUUGAUGUAAUAAUGAAACCGACCACCAGAGGGAGGCAAAUACAAGUUUAUUCGACAGAGGAAGGUCUGCAUUGCUGUCUUCUGACAAAACAGUGGGAAGUCAAUAAAAUAGGUAAGGUAAACAUUUACAUAUUUUUAAAAAUAAUUCUAGUGCACAAUUUCAGGGACUGUCAGUUUAAGAGGUUUUAAUGUAGACGUGUACAUAAACAUGAAUGAAUGAGAUUAUAGAUUGUUGAUAAGAGAUUAUAGAUGAUAGCGAUAUAGAGAUGUAUAGAUUAUAGAGAUAAUAUCAAUUAUAGAGAUGAUAGAUUAUAUAGAUUAGAUUAUAGAGAUGAUCGAUUAUAGAGAUUAUAGAUUAUAGAGAUGAUAGAAAUUAUAGAGAUGAUAGAUUAUAGAUAGUCUAGAUUGGUUUUUCUUUUGAAACUUUAUACUCCCGUUUUCUUGGACAUUGCAUUUAUUUAGAGAUUUUAUUAACACCAAAGUCAGCGUAUUUAUGUCAAAACUGUUUCAAAGUGUUCUAUAUUUCUGAGCAAUCUGUACAACAUAUAGCCAUUACACAUCUUAAUUAUUUAAUUUUGAACAUGUUAAUAUUUUGUAUCAUAUACACAUAUAUGUAGGUACUAGGUUUAUGGUGUAACAACAUUUAGUUGUAUAAUAAAAUGAGUAAAUUAAUAAAAUAUAAUAAAACUUGCAUUUCAAUAGAAUUAUAUCAAUUGUAUAUCAAUUUAUUGACAAAUUGCAAAAAUGUGUUGUUACAUACUUCGUGUACUAUCAAUACUUUUUAGGGAAAGGACAUUUUAUUGACAGACGGAUAUGUCAAGAGGUUGCAACUGUACAGUAUGUGUAUGUUUUCAGAUAUUUGUAUUGUGUAGUUGGGAAAAUGUUCAGGUUUUGGAUUAUCUUGUCUGUUUAUUUCUUGGUGUCAAUAGUUGCAUCUCUCCACAAGGGAGCACUGUAGAAUCAUAUUUUAUGGGGGCCAUUUUAGUACCUUUCCAGAAGAUAAACAAAUCAGUAAAUGGGUACUGUACAUGGUUAAAGUAUUCAGUGUAUAUAUACAUGAAACACUAUAUUAAAAAGCCAUUCAUGCUUUGGAGCUUGUGACCUCCUAUGUGAAUCUGUGAUUGUGGGAAAAGGAGGUUAUGGCUCAGAUGAUGACCUCUGGUACCUUUACCAUGUACUACUGGUCUGUGUUGCUCAUAUAUGCAUCUGACAUGUAAGGCAAUCAUCCUGUGUAUUCAUAUCAUGAAUUAUAUCAAUUAUAAUAUGUCAUUUUUUGUGGAAUAUGAUAAGCAUACUAUGCUAAGAUAUCCUGCACUUUGAUUAAUUUGAUAUAAAAAAAAAAGCUGUAUACUCUAUUAUAACAUGGGCUGCAUAAUAUAUUAGUGUGCAUGCUUCUUUGUUGGGUUCAAAUUGUGACAAGAACAUGGAACUGAUCUGAACUGAACAAGACUUUUAUUGACUGUGAGACUAAGCUACUGAAAUGGAUGCAGCACUUUGACUUGUAAACUGCUUUUGUGGUAUUUUGGAGUUGAGAUGGUGUAAUAUUCACAUCUGUGUGUGAAUUGUGUUCUCUCUCUUCUGAAGCUGUAAAAAACUGAAAACUCUUUCCCCCCUAACAGGUUCCUGGCUACAACAUUACUGAACAUUUCUGAUGUGAUGCUGUUUAUUUAGAGGGCUAGCCUGGUGCCUGAUCUGUUUGUGCUGUUUUGCCAACUCCUAUCGUCAUGUCAUGUUUGGCAUGACACUGGACAUACGAGUUGGCAAAAAAGCACAAUCAGAUCUGGCACCAGGCUAAUACAGGGCUGUACUAUAAGUCCAAAUAACAAACACACAUACACAGCACAUACACAUACACAACAUCAAUGAGUCAACAAGUCCAAAACAUUUAUUACGACUUAAAGUCAAUAAUACAAUAUUAAUGUACAAAACCUCUUUAUUACAGGGGUAGGUAACCCUGGUCCUGGAGGGCCACAGGCACUUCAUGUUUUUGAUUUAACCAACCUGGAAGACCAGGUAUGUUGAAUUUAGGCAAUUACUGAACUGAUCAAUUAGCUCAGUUGGUCCAGCGUGGUGCCUAGAUGGAUCAAAAUCCUGCUGUACCUGCGGCACACCAAGAACAGGGUUUCCUACCCCUGUUUUAAUAUAUACAUCAAAACAAGAAGACAUUUAUACAGCGCAGCGGUGAAACAGAUGAUGAAACAUGAGUUUAAAAAGAGCCUGAAGCAGGCAGCGGUGAAACAGAAGAUGAAACAUGAGUUUAAAAAGAGCCUGAAGCAGGCAGCGGUGAAACAGAAGAUGAAACAUGAGUUUAAAAAGAGCCUGAAGCAGGCAGCGGUGAAACAGAAGAGAAAACACGAGUUUAAAAAGAGCCUGAAGCAGGCAGCGGUCAGGUCACCAGAAUUAUGGCAAAUUACAUUUCAAUUCAAACUGAAAUUCUUAAUUCCAUUUGUUUUUCAUUAAAAAGCAUUGAGAAAAUGUUUUGUUUACUUCCGGCAUUGACUGAAUUGAAAUGUAAUUGAGCCCAACCCUUCAGACCACAGAUACAACAGUUACAUUACAUUCAGCCAUCACUGUACAGUACCUUUGUCCUGGGCUAUGUUAGGUAGGCAAAUGUGGAACGUUGCAGAUAGAAAUGUCAUGAAGAGAGCUGAUGUGAGUCCUUACAUUACUUAACAUUUCAGAGUGACAUGUUUGUUCUACAUGAUGUUCCACAACAUGGUGCCCUGCUGAACACAGCCCUGUUGUCUCUUUUCCAUCCAAAACAGAGCCAGCUUUCUAAAUGUCAUCUUGUGAUGGUUGGAAACUAUAAAAGUUAUUGGCUAUUUAUUUAGAAAUGUAGUAUGGCAAUUACCCUCAUGUCAAAGGACUCUAAAACGUAUUAACAUUCAAAUGAAAUUUAAAUUUAAAUUUAAAUUCAAAUGAAAUUGAAUGAACAGGGUGGUUCUGACUAGGCCCGAUCAUAAAUGUUUUAAAAUGCCCCUUCUUAUUGACAAUUGACCAGCAACUCUGUUGUCAAACAGAAAAAUAUUAUUCACAGUUUAGUGGAUGGCUUUCUAACCCUAUGCCCCUUUCUGGUUAAAUAGUUUAAAAUAAUUAUUCACUAUUGAACACCAUUGUAUUUUUCUUCCUUGGAGCUGCUUUUUCCUUGAAAUUGCUGACUACAUGAUCAGAAUGCAGUAAAACGGAUGUCACACUUACAAUUCCCUCAGGAUUCUGUGAACUGUUUAAGAACAUGUCUAUAAAAGGUUCCAUCAUCUCCCAGUAAGAUUUCAUCUGCAGAAUAAUCAACACAGCUUGGGGAAAAGGAUCAAACCAUCAAGAGAUGCAUGCAUCAGUCUACAAGAGAUUAUAGGCAGCAAUACAAUAUGCUUCAUAUUUGAACAAUCACUAUCACCAAAAUAAUACUAAAAUGAUAACAACCACGGAGCAAAAUUCUAAUGACUGCUAAUAUUCACUUUGCACCACGGACGACUCCAUCUACGAGAUACUGUCUUACACAAUGACACGGCAGAAUUCAGUUGACCAUUUAUAAGCCACAAUGGUAGACUACACAUAUUUGUAAACCACAGUCUCCAUCCCAAAUGCUACCCAAUUCCCUAUUUAGUGCAUAACUUUUUCCCUAUGGGCCCUGGUCAAAAGUAGUACACUAUUCAAGGAUUGGAGAAAAUGGUGCAAUUUGGGACACAUCUAAACUACUGUACAUGUAUGUAGAUAACUACUUCAUUGUUCAUUAUAACAACAGAUUUAAUAAACAAUAUACUGUAUUCUCAGAAUGAUUACAUCUCUAAUUGACAUCACAUUGACCGGCGAUAUAAGGCUGUGUAUUGUUUAAUAUUUCAUAACAUAAAUACUCUUGAAAAUGUAUAUUCAUACUCUUAAAAUUGGCUCAUGACAUGCUGAGACUGUCAUUAUGGUUUUAAUAAGGAACUCCUGCUAAACAUUCAACUUGGUGUGGGAACCAAAAGCAGAUCAUCUCUUUCUGAUUGUCCAACCUGUUUCACAGUGAAACAGGGACACCUUUUGGCCAUCUGUAUUCGCACACGCAUGGAUGGACCCAUAUUAAAGGCCAGUGUAAAGCAUCUCAAGAGUAGGACUGCUAAAGACAGGUCCAGACUGAAGAAAAACACAGCACAUUACUACUUUCUGUCUGCCCUCCUUGCCAUUCUUCUUCAUCUGAACCAGCUUCUUUAAUGAACAACGGGAAACUAUUCCUAACAGGAAGUUUUGUGUUUCUGAUCAGAUAGUACUGUUAAAGAGCUGUGCUUUUUCAGGUGGGCUGGGGAGUUGUGGAGUCAUCAACUGUUCAUCAAGCGUUUGACACGCUAACACACUGUUUACAGAUAUGCAUUGUUGCAUUAUCUAUAGUUUAUAGUAUAUAAAUAAAAUAAUAUGACAAAACGUUUUUUUUUUUUCCGUUUCAGUUUGAGAAUAAAGGCAAUUAUUCGUACUGUAUGUGACCAAACCAAAUUGAGAAUAUAUAUAUAUAUAUAUAUAUAUAUAUAUAUAUACAGUUUUUUGUCUUUCUCUCCCGUUUAAAAGCACCGCAUUUGCCUGCAGUCACAAACGGUGUACAGUAACUUAAUUAAAUCAACCAGUAUCCCAUUAUUUUGAUAUACAAAAAAUAUUAUGAGUAUAAAGGACUGAAUGCUGCAAAAUAGAACAGAGUCAAUCAUACCUAUUAUUGUGUAAUGAUAUAGAUAGACCAUAGUAGAUAUUUACUCAAAAUAAAAGUGGCUUAUUUCAAAAGGUCAUCGGUCGUAGGUUAUAGGUCGUAGGUUAAAGUUCAUAGGUUAUGCCCAUCUUAAACCAGAAAUGAGCUCUAGGUACUUCAAAGGCCUCCAGGUUAAUAAAAUACUGAUUCAGUGUAACAUCAUAAAAGCACUUUUGUUGACCACAUGUUUUUACAUACUUUGCAGUUUCGUUUAAAAAAUAAUGUCUAAAAAAAUCUCUCAGAUUAACAGAAAUACUUGCCGUUUUGUGCAUAAAGGCACUUUGGAGACUAAAGUAUACUAGGAGAGAUUAACAUGGGAUUAGGAUUAACAUGGGAUUAGAAUAUAGAAUAAUAAUAGUUAAAUCAGACCAAAGGAUCAAAUCUGUAGUGACAUCAGUUGCAAAGCUUUUACUCAGCCUUUGCAAAUGUAUACGGCCGUGAAACUCAGUGUGGAGUCUAGUGUUCAUCUUUGGAAUGAGAGAAAUACCCCAAAAUAAUACUUUUUUAAAAACACAAUUCAGGAAGGUGUUUAUCAAACCUCAAUGUGGUAAAAUACUUUCUGUCGGUCUAAGUUAUCUAUUUAGUUAAAUAUACAAAUUGAAGCUAGCUGAGAGACUGCUGAAGAAACUAGGGUAAAAUCUAGAUUGGACUGCAUUGCCUUUUCAGCGUCAGGUACAGUAAUAAUCUCACAAAACAAUUGUAAACAGAUUCAAAAGAAGAAAGAAAAAUACAAUUCAUGCAGACAUUGUAACACAGUUAUACAUUGAACUCACGAUACCCAUUCAUGAGUAAGUUGUCAUUGACAUUUUCUGUACUACCGGCUGUUUAAAACUAGUGGCACUAUCAAUCCUCUCCCGAAAUGAACCAAGGCAUCUUGUCAUCAUAAGCAAUGCUAAGAUUUAAAGAGGUUUGGUGUGUAAUGGUCGUAGUUGGCAAAUCUUAGCAUUGUUCAUCCUUCUAAAAUAGAUGACCAUCUUACCUUAACGCAGGUUUGAUUUUUGGCAUUUCAUUCCUCAUUAUUGAACUGUAGAAAAUAUACCUUUCACAUAAAUACUGGUUUUACCCAUGUCAUCUGUCUUCCUCAGAAGAAUCCCACUGGGCACAGACGUCAAUUCAACGUCUAUUCCACUUUGGUUCAACAUAAUUUCAUUGAAAUUACAUGGAAACAACAUUGAUUCAAUGUGUGCCCAGUGGGAAGAAUUCCUCUAUCUCUAAUAACAGUGGUACAUAUAGCAAGGAGGAAGUGACAUCAUCAUCUUCCUGUCACUCCACCAAUCACAGCUUACACAGGUAAAGGUGACCCGUGCCAUUGGCUGACACAUAGCCGCUGAUGUCAUAUACGGUCAUACAAAGCACUAUGAUGCUCUACUUCUGGUGGUGAUUGACUAUUAUCUUCAUAUUUUAAGAGACAUUGUUUCUACUGUUGGUCCAUUAAUUAUUUAUUUUGCCUUGAUCCUGGCUUGAGUCUCCAGGCCUGAAUAGUAUCCCAUGAUGCAGUGUGUUAGCCUCCAUUUUGUGUCCUUUCACUGUUCAUUAUUUUACAGUAACCUCACAUGAUCAUUCUCCCUCUACCAUAGACUUAGAUAGACAACACUAGUGCCCAAAAGUAUUUUUUAGCAUGGGCAGUGCCAAUGAGGACUCACCAUUUUUAAGUAGUCAACUGGGUGGAACUUCCUAUGGGUUAAGAAAGGAUCCCAUAAUUCUAUCCAGGUCAUCAGGAGGGAUCAGCCAAUUCAUUAUUCUUGUGAGCAAACAUUCCAGAACUGCAGGUGGCAGUAAAUAGGCAACAUUUAUACCUGUUCAAAUAAUAGUCCAGACCACAGUAUGCACCUUUUUAGUUUGUUUGCCAACUCAUAGAAGUAGUAAAUUAAUAAAGUGACUACUUAAAACUGGACAUGGUCUCAAUGGUGUUGCCUUUUCUCUCACAGAUGCCAUAGUGGGACAUAUACAAAGACGCAAUGUCUAUCUAAAUCUAUGCCCUCUACAAACAGGCACACACUUGCAACCUGAUUGGUCAGCUGAUAAAUAUUUACAUUAGGUCAGUCUGUCUCGAUUGGCCGGUUUGUUGUUUCUCCUGUACAGGACGUGUAAAGCUUAUUUCAGAGUCAAACAGACUCAGUGGCGCGAUAGUCCGGCCACAGACUUAGUAACGUGAUAGUCCGGCAUCUCGUUGUGACAUACAGUAGCUACAUGGCUCUGAGACCACAAUUCGCAUGGGAAUGGUCAGCCGAACGCGCACCUUGCCAAAAUUUCCAACCAACGUGCUCUGCUGAGAAUUCAAAAAGUAUGAAAGCCAACGGUCCAAUAUUCUAGAACACUGCUGUGCGUACACAUGCACAUUUUGGACUCUGAUAGAGGGUUUAUGGUUUUGUUACUGCUCCGUAAUUGAGUUGCCAUAACAACAACAAUACCCAGAACAACAAAACACAGUCUUAACUUGAGUCUGCAACAAGCUGAAAGACAGACUGAGGAAAGAGAGGAGGAGGAGUUGUUAAAUACCUAUUGUCAUUCUUCGGACAUGAUGAUAUGAUUGCAAUGACCGGUGGUAUUACAUGGAUGUUCCAGCAGCACUGAAGUGGUCCAGCUAUUCUGCUCUACGUGAUAAACGGGGGAGGCUUUUUGACAUAACACCAUGAUGAUAUGUACAGACCAUUAACCAUGCUUUUCCUUAAUAGCCUUCUGCCUUCCUUGUAAAGAUCCUUGUCUGAUGGUUUCUGAAUGGUGAUUGACAUUCACUGCUAGGCCACUACCACUGACGGUGGUUUGCUCCAUGAUGGAGACACUGUAGUUGUAACAGUUUAAAGGUGGAUUCACCUACAACUGCUCGUGAACAGGUGCUGCUGGUGAGGUGUUAGGUGUUCUGUUCCUGUCUGGUAGAGUUGGGUUUUAAUGUUGGGGUAGGUUAAGUCAGGGUUGGCUGGGAUAGUUUACAUAGUGAUAGGCUGGUUUGGAUAGAAAUAGGAGUCAGGUUAGUUUAGGUAUGGAUGAGUUGGAUUGCUAAGGACUAGGUGUUGGGUUAGGUUGGAUAGUGGUGGGUUGGGGUUUGGUUAGGAAUAGGAAUAGGUGUUGGGUUAGGUUGGAUAGGGCUAGGGGUUGGGUUAGUUUGGAUAGGGCUAGGGGUUGUGUUAGUUUGGAUUGGAUUGGGUUGGGUUAGUUUGAAUAGGGCUAGGGGUUGGGUUAGUUUGGAGUGUACCGGGUUGCUUAGUUUGAAUAGGGCUAGGGGUUGGGUUAGUUUGGAUUGUAUUGGAUAGGUUGGUUUGGAUGG